GGGUAUUGGCCUACCGGGGCAACGACGGGUGACGGGGAAUUAGGGUUCGAUUCCGGAGAGGGAGCCUGAGAAACGGCUACCACAUCUAAGGAAGGCAGCAGGCGCGCAAAUUACCCAAUCCUGACACAGGGAGGUCGUGACAAGAAAUAACAAUACGGGGCUUAAAGUCUUGUAAUUGGAAUGAUGGGAAUUUAAACCUCUUCCGGAGUAUCAAUUGGAGGGCAAGUCUGGUGCCAGCAGCCGCGUUAAUUCCAGCUCCAAUAGCGUAUAUAUUAAAAUUGUUGCACAGUUA
rnacentral:rRNA from 1 species